rnacentral:rRNA from 1 species
CUUGGUCAUUUAGAGGAAGUAAAAGUCGUAACAAGGUCUCCGUUGGUGAACCAGCGGAGGGAUCAUUACAGAGUUGCAAAACUCCCUAAACCAUUGUGAACGUUACCUUACACCGUUGCUUCGGCGGGCGGCACCGGGCUCACCCCCGGCGCCCCCCGGCCCCCUACAGGGCGCCCGCCGGAGGCUCUAACUCUUGAAUUUAUGGCCUCUCUGAGUCUUCUGUACUGAAUAAGUCAAAACUUUCAACAACGGAUCUCUUGGUUCUGGCAUCGAUGAAGAACGCAGCGAAAUGCGAUAAGUAAUGUGAAUUGCAGAAUUCAGUGAAUCAUCGAAUCUUUGAACGCACAUUGCGCCCGCCAGUAUUCUGGCGGGCAUGCCUGUCCGAGCGUCAUUUCAACCCUCGAACCCCUCCGGGGGAUCGGCGUUGGGGAUCGGGACCCCUCACCGGGUGCCGGCCCCGAAAUACAGUGGCGGUCUCGCCGCAGCCUCUCCUGCGCAGUAGUUUGCACACUCGCAUCGGGAGCGCGGCGCGUCCACAGCCGUUAAACACCCCAAACUUCUGAAAUGUUGACCUCGGAUCAGGUAGGAAUACCCGCUGAACUUAAGCAUAUCAAUAAGCGGAGGA